rnacentral:rRNA from 2 species
GCCCCGGUAAACGGCGGCCGUAACUAUAACGGUCCUAAGGUAGCGAAAUUCCUUGUCGGGUAAGUUCCGACCUGCACGAAUGGCGUAACGAUGGCCACACUGUCUCCACCCGAGACUCAGUGAAAUUGAAAUCGCUGUGAAGAUGCAGUGUACCCGCGGCUAGACGGAAAGACCCCGUGAACCUUUACUAUAGUUUUGCACUGGACUUUGAUGAUGACUGUGUAGGAUAGGUGGGAGGCUGUGAAGUGAGGACGCUAGUUCUCAUGGAGCCGCCCUUGAAAUACCACCCUGUUGUUAUUGAGGUUCUAACUUGGUCCAGUAAUCCUGGAUGAGGACAGUGUAUGAUGGGUAGUUUGACUGGGGCGGUCUCCUCCCAAAGAGUAACGGAGGAGCACAAAGGUACCCUCGGUACGGUCGGACAUCGUACCAAGAGUGUAAAGGCAAAAGGGUGCUUGACUGCGAGAGUGACGGCUCGAGCAGGAACGAAAGUUGGUCUUAGUGAUCCGGUGGUUCUGAAUGGAAGGGCCAUCGCUCAACGGAUAAAAGGUACUCCGGGGAUAACAGGCUGAUACCGCCCAAGAGUUCAUAUCGACGGCGGUGUUUGGCACCUCGAUGUCGGCUCAUCACAUCCUGGGGCUGAAGCAGGUCCCAAGGGUAUGGCUGUUCGCCAUUUAAAGUGGUACGCGAGCUGGGUUUAGAACGUCGUGAGACAGUUCGGUCCCUAUCUGCCGUGGGCGUAGGAAAAUUGAGAGGAGCUGCUCCUAGUACGAGAGGACCGGAGUGGACGAACCUCUGGUGCACCGGUUGUCACGCCAGUGGCAUGGCCGGGUAGCUAAGUUCGGACGGGAUAACCGCUGAAAGCAUCUAAGCGGGAAGCCUCCCUCAAGAUGAGUUUUCCCAUGAAGCCCGUUGAAGACUACGACGUUGAUAGGCAAGGUGUGGAAGCGCAGUAAUGCGUGAAGCUAACUUGUACUAAUUGGCUGAUUGUCUUGACCAUAUAAUCUGAG